rnacentral:tRNA from 1 species
GGAGAGGUGGCCGAGUUGGCUGAAGGCGGCAGGUUGCUAACCUGUUGUAGGGCCUUAAAAUCCUACCGUGGGUUCAAAUCCCACCCUCUCCG